rnacentral:antisense_RNA from 1 species
CUUGAUGGAGCCGAGGAGCAGCGGCUGGUCGGCCGGCCGCUCCUGGCCGUACGUGGCCAGCAGCGCCUGCGCCUC